GCAGCAGCAGUAGCAGCAGCACCCACUCACACGCACGCACACAAUCGGGCGCACGGGAGUCUCUCCUCUCCACUCACUCACGAAAAUUUCAAUAUCCAAAUCAAAGUCGAGUUCAAAUCGAAAACAGCCGCAACACCAGCAACAACGUACAUCGCACACAGCACGCGGAUAAUGAUAAAAAGAAAAUAACGAACGCCGCCGAUACGCCGAUACGCCGCCACGCCAAGACCCAAAAAAUAAAACACCUUCAAGUCCAAGUCCAAAUCCAAGUCCAAAUCCAAGUCUAGGAUCAGUCAGUAGUAGCAUCCCCAACGAAAUAGUCAGCCAAGUUAACCCCCGGAAACGAAACGCGUAACUCUCGAACAAGACGCUCAACUCAAUGCUAAAACGCUAAAAACAAAUCAGUUUAAACAAAUUUAAACAAUUAUUAAAACAGUUCUUGCCGGUUCUUCAAUCUUUCGCUCGCCCUCUCGUUUUCACUUUUUUGCGCGUGUGACUUAAAAACUUUCAACCAAAAUUAAAACACACAAAAAACAAAAAAACAAAAAACUCUUCGUAUCUGAAAUCUGAAUCUUCAGUGUAUAUUCUCGCACCUCGCUCUACUACACUACACAACAACAACUACAACAACAAAUAGCCAUAAUUACAAGAUCCGCCACAACAACAACAACAACAAACAACAACAAUAAACAGCAUAACAAUCUCCAAUAACAGAUAAACGAAUAAAUACAAAAAAAAUCGCCAAGCAAAUCCAAAUAAAUAUAAAAAAAAACCGCAACAAAAAACUCGAAAACUUAAAACUGAAAAAAAAAUAAAACAAACCAUCACUUCAUCUCCUACUUGAACGACUCUCUGACUCGACACUCGAUUGAAGCAGAAAUAGAAAACAGAAAACAGAAAACAG
rnacentral:sRNA from 1 species